rfam:Ovis aries breed Texel chromosome 1, whole genome shotgun sequence.
UCCUUGUUGGCUCAGAAGUUAAAGCAUCUACCUGCAAUGUGGGAGACCUGGGUUCGAUCCCUGGGUCAGGAA